rnacentral:rRNA from 1 species
CCUACGGAGCGCUGCAGUGGGGAAUAUUGGACAAUGGGCGAAAGCCUGAUCCAGCCAUGCCGCGUGUGUGAAGAAGGCCUUCGGGUUGUAAAGCACUUUCAGUGGGGAAGAAAGCCUUGGGGCUAAUACCCUCGAGGAAGGACAUCACCCACAGAAGAAGCACCGGCUAACUCCGUGCCAGCAGCCGCGGUAAUACGGAGGGUGCGAGCGUUAAUCGGAAUUACUGGGCGUAAAGCGCGCGUAGGCGGUCUGAUAAGCCGGUUGUGAAAGCCCCGGGCUCAACCUGGGAACGGCAUCCGGAACUGUCAGGCUAGAGUGCAGGAGAGGAAGGUAGAAUUCCCGGUGUAGCGGUGAAAUGCGUAGAGAUCGGGAGGAAUACCAGUGGCGAAGGCGGCCUUCUGGACUGACACUGACGCUGAGGUGCGAAAGCGUGGGUAGCAAACAGGAUUAGAUACCCCGGUAGUC